rfam:Triticum aestivum genome assembly, contig: Triticum_aestivum_CS42_TGACv1_scaffold_161199_2DL
UAUCUACUCCCUCCGUUCGGAAUUACUUGUCGUAGCAAUGGAUGUAUCUAGACAUUUUUUAGUUCUAGAUACAUCCAUUUCUACGACAAGUAAUUCGGAACGGAGGGAGUAAAAC